rnacentral:rRNA from 1 species
AUUGAACGCUGGCGGCAUGCCUUACACAUGCAAGUCGAACGGCAGCACGGGGGCAACCCUGGUGGCGAGUGGCGAACGGGUGAGUAACAUAUCGGAACGUGCCCUGGAGUGGGGGAUAACUAGUCGAAAGAUUAGCUAAUACCGCAUACGAUCUACGGAUGAAAGUGGGGGAUCGCAAGACCUCAUGCUCGUGGAGCGGCCGAUAUCUGAUUAGCUAGNGGUGGGGUAAAGGCCUACCAAGGCAUCGAUCAGUAGCUGGUCUGAGAGGACGACCAGCCACACUGGGACUGAGACACGGCCCAGACUCCUACGGGAGGCAGCAGUGGGGAAUUUUGGACAAUGGGCGCAAGCCUGAUCCAGCAAUGCCGCGUGAGUGAAGAAGGCC